rnacentral:lncRNA from 1 species
UCCUCCUGCCUCAGCCUCCCAAAGUGCUGGGAUUACAGGCGUGAGCCACUGUGCCCAGCCCCCCCCCCUUUUUUUUUUAAGCAUUUUCUCAGCAGACUAGCUAAGGACAAUAGAUGGCAUGUCCUGACACCCAUGGGGCACUCUGGGUGUUGGGGCAGAAACUUGAGAGGGAAUGAGCUUCUGCAUUGGUCCCUUUCCUGCUGAAGGUGUCUCCCAGUAGUGUCCAUCCCAUCCCAUUUCCAUCCCCAGUUCCUCUUACCCGGAAGCUGUUACAGCCCAGUCCGCUCUGGGCUCCAAUCCUGUCCAUCCUGCCCCCGAAGCAGCUGGAUCUCCGCAGGCUCCGAGGGGCAGUGAGCAGCGCCCUCAGCUUGCUUUUUAGGAGGGCAGCUCCAUCUCUCUGGGCUGGGCUGACUUCCCCGGUCCAGGGAGGCACCUCAGGGAGGGGGCUGAGAGCAGCCCCCGCUUCUUCAUUCGGCUCACUGAGCACUUGUGGGGGCACGACCUCAUCUUCUAAAGGCAUCUUUUCUUCCAAAUGGUCCAGCAACUUGAAAUCCAUCAGGUCUGCGUUGGACACGGCAUUGUACAUGGGAUUAGCUCUGGUCUGACCUAGGAGCUGGAAUGCCAGUAAAAGGAGGAAGCUCACGGUGGUGGUGGAGAAGGAGCUCAUGCUGGCGUCGUCAAGGAGCAAUCCACUGCUUGCUGCUCUGUCUCUCCCCUCUGGUUCCUCUCUGGUUCCCCUCUCUUGGCCUACGUCUGUCCCUGUCUCCCAGCUGCCCAGUGCCGCCUCUUUUUAUAGCCCCCCAGCUCUCCAAGCACGCAGGAGAGACAGAACCCUCCCCAUUCUGUCACUUGCAGUGAUAAAGCUGCCAAGUGAGAAGCCAGCAGGAGAUGCCCUUUUAAAGUU